GAAGUUUUCAGAGAUGAGAAUGUGCCUUCGGGAACCGUGAGACAGGUGCUGCAUGGCUGUCGUCAGCUCGUGUUGUGAAAUGUUGGGUUAAGUCCCGCAACGAGCGCAACCCUUAUCCUUUGUUGCCAGCGGUCCGGCCGGGAACUCAAAGGAGACUGCCAGUGAUAAACUGGAGGAAGGUGGGGAUGACGUCAAGUCAUCAUGGCCCUUACGACCAGGGCUACACACGUGCUACAAUGGCGCAUACAAAGAGAAGCGACCUCGCGAGAGCAAGCGGACCUCAUAAAGUGCGUCGUAGUCCGGAUUGGAGUCUGCAACUCGACUCCAUGAAGUCGGAAUCGCUAGUAAUCGUGGAUCAGAAUGCCACGGUGAAUACGUUCCCGGGCCUUGUACACACCGCCCGUCACACCAUGGGAGUGGGUUGCAAA
rnacentral:rRNA from 1 species